GACGAACGCUGGCGGCGUGCUUAACACAUGCAAGUCGAACGGAAAGGCCCCUUUGGGGGUACUCGAGUGGCGAACGGGUGCGUAACACGUGAGUAACCUGCCCUUGACUUCGGGAUAACUUCAGGAAACUGGGGCUAAUACCGGAUAGGAAUCCUUGCUGCAUGGUGGGGGUUGGAAAGCUUCGGCGGUUUUGGAUGGACUCGCGGCGUAUCAGCUUGUUGGUGGGGUAGUGGCUUACCAAGGCUUUGACGGGUAGCCGGCCUGAGAGGGCGACCGGCCACAUUGGGACUGAGAGACGGCCCAGACUCCUACGGGAGGCAGCAGUGGGGAAUAUUGCACAAUGGGCGGAAGCCUGAUGCAGCAACGCCGCGUGCGGGAUGACGGCCUUCGGGUUGUAAACCGCUUUCAGCAGGGGCGAAGCUUGUGGUGACGGUACCUGCAGAAGAAGCACCGGCUAACUACGUG
rnacentral:rRNA from 1 species